GGAAAAGAAACUAACAAGGAUUCCCCUAGUAACUGCGAGUGAAGCGGGAAAAGCUCAAAUUUAAAAUCUGGCGGUCUCCGGCCGUCCGAGUUGUAAUUUAGAGAAGCGUUAUCCGUGCUGGACCGUGUAUAAGUCUCCUGGAAUGGAGCGUCAUAGAGGGUGAGAAUCCCGUCUUUGACACGGACUACCAGUGCAUUGUGAUGCGCUCUCGACGAGUCGAGUUGUUUGGGAAUGCAGCUCAAAAUGGGUGGUAAAUGCCAUCUAAAGCUAAAUAUUGGCGAGAGACCGAUAGCGAACAAGUACCGUGAGGGAAAGAUGAAAAGAACUUUGGAAAGAGAGUUAAACAGUACGUGAAAUUGUCGAAAGGGAAACGGUUGCAGUCAGUCGCGUCCGCCGGGGAUCAACCUUGCUUUUGCUUGGCGUAUUUCCCGGUGGAUGGGUCAGCAUCAGUUUUGACCGCAGUUGAAAGGCUGGAGGAAUGUGGCACCUUCGGGUGUGUUAUAGCCUCCUGUCAUAUGCUGCGGUUGGGACUGAGGAACUCAGCACGCCGCAAGGCCGGGAU
rnacentral:rRNA from 1 species